rnacentral:rRNA from 1 species
AGAGUUUGAUCAUGGCUCAGGAUGAACGCUAGCGGCAGGCUUAAUACAUGCAAGUCGAGGGGUAACAGGGGUAGCAAUACCUGCUGACGACCGGCAAACGGGUGAGGAACACGUACGCAACUUUCCCAAAACUGGUGAAUAGCCCUCCGAAAGGAGGAUUAAUACACCGUAAGAUAAUGAGAUGGCAUCAUUUUAUUAUUAUAGCUCCGGCGGUUUUGGAUGGGCGUGCGCCUGAUUAGGUAGUUGGCGGGGUAACGGCCCACCAAGCCUGCGAUCAGUAACUGGUGUGAGAGCACGACCAGUCACACGGGCACUGAGACACGGGCCCGACUCCUACGGGAGGCAGCAGUAAGGAAUAUUGGUCAAUGGACGAAAGUCUGAACCAGCCAUGCCGCGUGAAGGAUGAAGGUCCUCUGGAUUGUAAACUUCUUUUAUCUGGGACGAAAAAAGGUUAUUCUUAACCACUUGACGGUACCAGAGGAAUAAGCACCGGCUAACUCCGUGCCAGCAGCCGCGGUAAUACGGAGGGUGCAAGCGUUAUCCGGAUUCACUGGGUUUAAAGGGUGCGUAGGUGGAUUAGUAAGUCUGUGGUGAAAUCUCCGAGCUUAACUCGGAAACUGCCGUGGAUACUAUUAGUCUUGAAUCUCCUGGAGGUAAGCGGAAUAUGUCAUGUAGCGGUGAAAUGCUUAGAUAUGACAUAGAACACCAAUUGCGGAGGCAGCUUACUACGGGAGCAUUGACACUGAGGCACGAAAGCGUGGGGAUCAAACAGGAUUAGAUACCCUGGUAGUCCACGCCCU